UAUCUACUCCCUCCGUCUCGAAAUACUUGUCGGAGAAAUGGAUAAAAUUAGAUGUAUCUAUAACUAAAAUAAGUCUAGAUUCAUCCAUUCCUCUGACAAGUAUUUCUGGACGGAGGGGGUAAUAU
rfam:Triticum aestivum genome assembly, contig: Triticum_aestivum_CS42_TGACv1_scaffold_033293_1BL